GAUUCUCCUCCUGACCCUCUCAUGCACUCAAUGUGCACUGGGCCUGAAGAGUGCUUUCGAGCACAGUGCCCGAAGCAAGAAGCAAAGUUGCCUGGACCGAAAGCGAAGCCAUCGCAAGUUCUGCGUAGUUCAGAUCCGGAUGGCCCGUGGCUGGUUCACAAGAUCGCCUGGCGACGGGCUGUACUUUUACAUUUCCCCCUCUGAAUGGCAGCUGCUGCCGGAAAUAAAUGUUAUGUUUAUCCGA